GAAAAAUUGUGGCAACAGAGCGGCAUAUGUAGGCUGUAUAUUGUUGAAAUCAUAUACAAGCGUUGAUUUGAGUUCUUCAUGACCUAAAUGUACAACUUGUCUCUUACUGAAAUUUGAGUUUGUUAGAUUGUUCAUAUCGUGAGAUACAACCCUAUGGUUGGUACUUGAAGGAAGUUCAAGACCAACAAAUGCAAGGAUUUCAACCUAAAGUUCAAGCGGAGUUUGAACAACCUGAACAAGAUACUUGAUAUAUUUCAGAUAUGGGUAUUAACAACUGAAAGUAAGUGAGUUUAAAAAGUAAUUUAGUAAAAGGUAAGUCUUUGCAUUAUGUGUUUGAUUUCAACUUUGUAAUUAACAAUUGAAUUUUAGCUUAGUGAUUUGAUUUGAGCCGGACAUGGUCCCAUGGAUGUAGGCUAAGAUAUAUCUUAGCUGAACCAUGUAAAAA